GGCCCUCUGGCGCAACGGUAGCGCGUUCGACUCCAGAUUGAAAUAUCUCGAGAUGUCAUCGAAAGGUUAUCUGUUCAAAUCAGGUGGGGGUCA